rnacentral:rRNA from 1 species
UACGUAGGGACCAAGCGUUGUUCGGAUUUACUGGGCGUAAAGGGCGCGUAGGCGGCAUGACAAGUCACUUGUGAAAUCUCUGGGCUUAACCCAGAACGGCCAAGUGAUACUGUCGCGCUAGAGUGCAGAAGGGGCAAUCGGAAUUCUCGGUGUAGCGGUGAAAUGCGCAGAUAUCGGGAGGAACACCUAUGGCGAAGGCAGCUCGCUGGGACGUUACUGACGCUGAGACGCGAAAGCGUGGGGAGCAAACAGG